rnacentral:tRNA from 1 species
UGUCUAGAUAGCUCAGAGGUUAGAGCAUAGGGUUGAAAACCCUUGAGUCAUGGGUUCGAAUCCCAUUCUGGACAU